rnacentral:rRNA from 1 species
GACGAACGCUGGCGGCGUGCUUAACACAUGCAAGUCGAUCGAUGAAGCCUAGCUUGCUAGGUGGAUUAGUGGCGAACGGGUGAGUAAUACGUGAGUGACCUACCUUUGACUCUGGGAUAAGCCUGGGAAACUGGGUCUAAUACCGGAUACGACCAAUCUCCGCAUGGGGUGUUGGUGGAAAGCGCUAUGGAGUGGUUUUAGAUGGGCUCACGGCCUAUCAGCUUGUUGGUGAGGUAAUGGCUUACCAAGGCGACGACGGGUAGCCGGCCUGAGAGGGUGACCGGCCACACUGGGACUGAGACACGGCCCAGACUCCUACGGGAGGCAGCAGUGGGGAAUAUUGCACAAUGGGCGCAAGCCUGAUGCAGCGACGCCGCGUGAGGGAUGACGGCCUUCGGGUUGUAAACCUCUGUUAGCAUCGAAGAAGCGAAAGUGACGGUAGGUGCAGAGAAAGCGCCGGCUAACUACGUGCCAGCAGCCGCGGUAAUACGUAGGGCGCGAGCGUUGUCCGGAAUUAUUGGGCGUAAAGAGCUUGUAGGCGGUUGGUCGCGUCUGCUGUGAAAGGCUGGGGCUUAACCCUGGUUUUGCAGUGGGUACGGGGCUAACUAGAGUGCAGUAGGGGAGACUGGAAUUUCCUGGUGUAGCGGUGGAAUGCGCAGAUAUCAGGAGGAACACCGAUGGCGAAGGCCAGGUCUCUGGGCUGUAACUGACGCUGAGAAGCGAAAGCAUGGGGAGCGAACAGGAUUAGAUACCCUGGUAGUCCAUGCCGUAAACGUUGGGCACUAGGUGUGGGGGACAUUCCACGUUUUCCGCGCCGUAGCUAACGCAUUAAGUGCCCCGCCUGGGGAGUACGGCCGCAAGGCUAAAACUCAAAGAAAUUGACGGGGGCCCGCACAAGCGGCGGAGCAUGCGGAUUAAUUCGAUGCAACGCGAAGAACCUUACCAAGGCUUGACAUAUACUGGACUGCGUCAGAGAUGGCGUUUCCCUUCGGGGCUGGUAUACAGGUGGUGCAUGGUUGUCGUCAGCUCGUGUCGUGAGAUGUUGGGUUAAGUCCCGCAACGAGCGCAACCCUCGUUCUAUGUUGCCAGCACGUGAUGGUGGGGACUCAUAGGAGACUGCCGGGGUCAACUCGGAGGAAGGUGGGGAUGACGUCAAAUCAUCAUGCCCCUUAUGUCUUGGGCUUCACGCAUGCUACAAUGGCCGGUACAGAGGGUUGCGAUACUGUGAGGUGGAGCUAAUCCCUAAAAGCCGGUCUCAGUUCGGAUUGGGGUCUGCAACUCGACCCCAUGAAGUCGGAGUCGCUAGUAAUCGCAGAUCAGCAACGCUGCGGUGAAUACGUUCCCGGGCCU